rnacentral:rRNA from 1 species
GCACAAGCGGUGGAGCAUGUGGUUUAAUUUGAAGAUACGCGGAGAACCUUACCCACUCUUGACAUCCUUUGCAAAGCUAUAGAGAUAUAGUG